UAGGGAAUCUUCGGCAAUGGACGAAAGUCUGACCGAGCAACGCCGCGCGAGUGAAGAAGGUUUUCGGAUCGUAAAACUCUGUUGUUAGAGAAGAACAAGGACGUUAGUAACUGAACGUCCCCUGACGGUAUCUAACCAGAAAGCCACGGCUAACUACGUGCCAGCAGCCGCGGUAAUACGUAGGUGGCAAGCGUUGUCCGGAUUUAUUGGGCGUAAAGCGAGCGCAGGCGGUUUCUUAAGUCUGAUGUGAAAGCCCCCGGCUCAACCGGGGAGGGUCAUUGGAAACUGGGAGACUUGAGUGCGGAAGAGGAGAGUGGAAUUCCAUGUGUAGCGGUGAAAUGCGUAGAUAUAUGGAGGAACACCAGUGGCGAAGGCGGCUCUCUGGUCUGUAACUGACGCUGAGGCUCGAAAGCGUGGGGAGCAAACAGG
rnacentral:rRNA from 1 species